AACAGCUGUGGAAGUAGGGAAGGAUGGCUUUCCAAGAAAAAUCCCUCCUAUUUGGCACAGGAGUGCUGGUAUGGCCGUAAAGACCGUCUGACAAAAUGAGGAACAAUGAGAGGGCUGGGUGGAGGGCUCAUCAACUGUUUUUGUUUUUGUAACAGCUCAGGAGUGCGGUAUCUCUGGAACAAACGAGCUAUGAAUAGAUAGCAUAUCUUACUGUUAUGUAACGAACCAGUUGUUCUGUCUGAUAAGGUAGCAGUCCUCGCCUGAUUAAUGAGUUCAGGAUUUAUAACUAGCUGUGAAGAAAUGGAUGUAAUUUAAUGUCAUUUUUUUCCUUUCUUUCCAAGAAGGGUUGCAAAAGUAGCAGAGCUGCUCAUGCACCCUUCAGUCCUGCUCAGUGAAAACUCCUCACACUGUACCCCUUUUCUGGGCAGAAGCAUGUGCUCACCUCCAGGCGUGGUGGAGAACAGGGUUCCUCCAGGUGUCUGGCUGUAACAGUCUGGGAGCUGAGACCAGUCCUUCAGCUGGAUCACACGGGUUGGGAUGGGACAGCUCCUGGUCUUCUGUGUGUUAGCUGACAUUGUGGAUUUAUAAGCCUAAAAGUUCAGUAGAAGAAGCAGACAAUAAAGCUGUCCCACUGCUGCUUAUUAUUUAUCUGACCUA